UUUCGACUUCAUGUUCGAAAACUAUAUCUCUGAGAGGCGCUGUACCUCACGAAUUAACAAAAGUAACCUCAUUAUAUCUACAAAAUGUUGUUCAUUCUGAUGACGUAACUUUGUACAAAACAACUGUUGCAAUUUACUUGGGGAUUUCACGACUAAAAGUAACGAUUUCGUAACAGCGAUGUGGUGGUUGUACUUGAAUAUGGCACAAACCCACCCAAACUUUUGAUUUGUGCCCAAUGAUUCCAGUGAAGAAGUCAUUAUGACGCAUGUUCCUUUCUACGCAGAGAAUAGCAUCAGCCUCGAGUGUUUCUGUCUUUUUUAGUUACGUCAGUGAUGGUGGUUAAAGGUUGAUACCCCUGGGAUCCUUCUCAAAGGGCAACCGUCGCCAUUCCGUUACCAUCACGCCUGCAUCUGUUCCUCGAGGUUAAAGACCUACCAGGUCAACAGCCACGUAAAGUGUGCACAUGAUGCUCAUGAGAACUGGACUCCCCGACGUUUCCUUUAUCGUUCGUACUUUUCCAGUAGCAUCUUCAGGAAUUGCGUCAUGCUUGGACGCAAAAUUGAUACCCAACAUGCGUCAUGCUACUGCAGGCUGAAGUCAAGGUUUCCGUCGACAAAAACAUCGCUGACAACAUUGUUAAGAUGCGGUCAAGGUCGUAGGAUUGGGUCCCUUCUAAAAGUUUGAGGUUUUGUUCCCCAAAGUGGUCGUUCACCUAUCGAUUUUUGCACAUCCAUUUACUGAAAAUGUGGUCACAAAUCGCAGGUCGUUUACCUUAGAAAGUUACAAUUUAGACGUAAAUUUGUACAAUGUGCAUUGAGAUCUGGAAUGUCGAUAAUAAUUAAUAAUGACCUUUGCGUUCCGUUCAAUGAACCCUUGUUUCAUCGCAAAAAGGCUCACGAUUUUUUUCGGGAAAGUGCUGCUCUGAAUUUGAUUGUGGAAAUAUGUCGCUGAUUUCAGUUUUGCGUGAUAAAGGCGGGUCGAGACAUCGGAUUUUUUAUCAUUGAUAUGAAGUUUAGUAGCAAGUUUAUAUAAUGAUAGUACGUUUGGAAGUACCUAUUAAGAAAGGGGAUAAGUUAGCUGUGUCACGAAGAAUAUAAAUUACUACGAUAAGUCGAAUAAAACAAAGAACAAGGUUUUGAUACACAUUUCUUGGUGACUUUUCUACGCACUCGAGUUUUGUUUAGAACCGAUAAUUUUAUUUCUUGAGAGAACGCACAAAUUCGCUAAAGUGUUAAUUAUCAUGUAAAAAGGAAAUAGUUUUGUUUUGCUCGAUAAGAGACACGUGUUCGUAAUUUUGAAAUUUUAUUUUAAAAUAUUAUCUUCUGAAUCGUCCUGAUAAAGUUGUUGAAACUUGAGUACCAGAAUAUCGUAGAAUAACAAACGUAACAUUUAUCUAAUUUCGAUAGAAACCUUUGGUGCAUCUAACGAUGUAUGUAGUACCUGCUUCCGCAAAAAGUACGACUAGUUUGUGUCAAUGUCCCGAAAUAGAGAAACUUCAUGCUUUAAAGUUUUUUAGAUUGAAUUAUUUUUUUUUUGGAUUUUGAUACAUUU